rnacentral:rRNA from 1 species
AGGUAACCUACCCUCAGGACUGAGAUAACCCCGGGAAACUGGGGCUAAUAUUAGAUAGAUAAAAGAUACUGGAAUGUUCUUUUAUCCAAAGCUUUUGCGCCUGAGGAUGGGCCUGCGUCCGAUUAGGUUGUUGGUGGGGUAAUGGCCCACCAAGCCUACGAUCGGUACGGGCAGUGGGAGCUGAAGCCCGGAGUUGGGGACUGAGACAAGGCCCCAGGCCCUACGGGGCGCAGCAGGCGCGAAACCUCUGCAAUGCGGGAAACCGUGACAGGGGGAUCCCAAGUGCUCAUGCAUUGCAUGGGCUGUUCUUUGGUCUAAGUAACCAGAGGAGUAAGGGCUGGGCAAGACCGGUGCCAGCCGCCGCGGUAAUACCGGCAGCUCAAGUGGUAGCCGCGAUUAUUGGGCCUAAAACGUUCGUAGCCGGAUAAGUAAGUCUUUGGUUAAAUCCUGCGACUUAACCGUGGGAAAUCUAGAGAUACUGCUUGUCUUGAGACCGGGAGAGGUUGGAGGUACUCCUAGGGUAGGGGUGAAAUCCUGUAAUCCUAGGGGGACCACCUGUGGCGAAGGCGUCCAACUGGAACGGGUCUGACGGUGAGGGACGAAACCUAGGGGAGCGAGCCGGAUUAGAUACCCGGGUAGUCCUAGGCGUAAUGAUGCGAGUUAAGUGUGGGGGCAUCUACGAGAUGGCCCUGUGCUGUAGGGUAGCCGUUA